UGAUUUCUUUCAUAAUAAUUUUUUUGUAUCUCUUGGAUCGUAGAUAGUUUUUAUAUAUCUUUUAUAAUUCAUUCAUACUCAUAGCACCGAAAUAAAGGCAGAAAAGAAAAUUUGAUAAUUUCUUUGAUUCUGUGAAUAUAUUCGUUGUUCGUUCGUCUUGUUGGCUUUUUUUAAAAUUGUACGUAUUUCUGAGUUGCAAUUGACUUUCCGUUGUACCGUGAAUCGAUUUUAUUGCCGUAUCUAAGAUCAAAUAUUUUAUUGUUUCGUCAGAGGAGAUCAAAAGAUUUGUUUGUAAUUGAAUUAUAUAUGUAAUACCCCCCUGAGGGCGAUUUGCUUAAAUAUUUUUGUUUUAAAUAUAUUUUCGGUUUUACAUAAAGGUUCAAUUUGAGUUUUAAAUAAAGCGCGAUCAACCUGUUUCUUAAAAUUUUUUGAAAGUAGUUCAUGUUGUGAUUGUUUUUCAUUCUUCUAUUCACUUUUUACGGCUUGAGGCCAAAAGUGAUAAAUUGGAGGAAUUUAAGUGAUAUCGGAUUUCAACAAAAACACAUCAUCAAAAAAUUAGAAUAAAUAUUUUUCUGGAUUUUGUUUAAUUUGUUUUUUCUUUGAGG